GGAGAGAUGGCAGAGUGGUCGAUUGCGGCGGUCUUGAAAACCGCUGAACCGAAAGGUUCCGGGGGUUCGAAUCCCUCUCUCUCCGCCA
rnacentral:tRNA from 1 species